rnacentral:rRNA from 1 species
UACAGAGACUGCAAGCGUUAUUCGGAUUCACUGGGCGUAAAGGGUGCGCAGGCGGUUGGGUGUGUCAGAUGUGAAAUCCCGAGGCUUAACCUCGGAACUGCGUCUGAAACUACUCGACUAGAGUACUGGAGAGGGUAACGGAAUUCACGGUGUAGCAGUGAAAUACGUAGAUAUCGUGAGGAACACCAGAGGCGAAGGCGGUUACCUGGACAGUUACUGACGCUCAGGCACGAAAGCAUGGGGAGCAAAAGGG